AUCCCUGGCUCAGGACGAACGCUGGCGGCGUGCCUAAUACAUGCAAGUCGAGCGGAAUGAUGAAGAAGCUUGCUUCUUCUGAUUUUAGCGGCGGACGGGUGAGUAACACGUGGGCAACCUACCUUGUAGAUUGGGAUAACUCCGGGAAACCGGGGCUAAUACCAAAUAAUCCAUUUUGCUUCAUGGCGAAAUGUUGAAAGGCGGCUUCGGCUGUCACUACGAGAUGGGCCCGCGGCGCAUUAGCUAGUUGGUAGGGUAACGGCCUACCAAGGCGACGAUGCGUAGCCGACCUGAGAGGGUGAUCGGCCACACUGGGACUGAGACACGGCCCAGACUCCUACGGGAGGCAGCAGUAGGGAAUCUUCCACAAUGGACGAAAGUCUGAUGGAGCAACGCCGCGUGAGUGAAGAAGGUUUUCGGAUCGUAAAACUCUGUUGUAAGGGAAGAACACGUACGAGAGUAACUGCUCGUACCUUGACGGUACCUUAUUAGAAAGCCACGGCUAAC
rnacentral:rRNA from 1 species